UACGUAGGGGGCUAGCGUUGUCCGGAAUCAUUGGGCGCAAAGCGCGUGUAGGCGGCCCGGUAAGUCCGCUGUGAAAGUCGGGGGCUCAACCCUCGAAAGCCGGUGGAUACUGUCGGGCUAGAGUACGGAAGAGGCGAGUGGAAUUCCUGGUGUAGCGGUGAAAUGCGCAGAUAUCAGGAGGAACACCCAUUGCGAAGGCAGCUCGCUGGGACGUUACUGACGCUGAGACGCGAAAGCGUGGGGAGCAAACAGG
rnacentral:rRNA from 1 species